rnacentral:rRNA from 1 species
UACGGAGGGUGCAAGCGUUGUCCGGAAUCACUGGGCGUAAAGGGCGCGUAGGCGGCUCAUGAAGGCUGUGGUGAAAGUCCGGGGCUCAACCUCGGAUCGGCCGUGGCGACUCGUGGGCUGGAGCACUGUAGAGGCGGGUGGAAUUCCGGGUGUAGCGGUGGAAUGCGUAGAGAUCCGGAAGAACACCAGUGGCGAAGGCGGCCCGCUGGGCAGUGGCUGACGCUGAGGCGGCGACAGCGUGGG